rnacentral:rRNA from 1 species
CAGUAGCCGCGGGAAUACGUAGGGUGCGAGCGUUAAUCGGAAUUACUGGGCGUAAAGCGUGCGCAGGCGGCUAUGCAAGACAGAUGUGAAAUCCCCGGGCUCAACCUGGGAACUGCAUUUGUGACUGCAUGGCUAGAGUACGGUAGAGGGGGAUGGAAUUCCGCGUGUAGCAGUGAAAUGCGUAGAUAUGCGGAGGAACACCGAUGGCGAAGGCGGCUCACUGGACCAUUACUGACGCUGAGGCACGAAAGCUAGGGGAGCAAACAGGAUUAGAUACCCCGGUAGUCCCUGUCUCUUAUAA